AUUGAACGCUGGCGGAAUGCUUUACACAUGCAAGUCGAGCGGCAGCACGGGGGCAACCCUGGUGGCGUGCGGCGAACGGGUGAGUAAUACAUCGGAACAUGCCCAGUCGUGGGGGAUAACACUUCGAAAGAAGUGCUAAUACCGCAUACGUCCUGAGGGAGAAAGCGGGGGAUCUUCGGACCUCGCGCGAUUGGAGUGGCCGAUGUCAGAUUAGCUAGUUGGUGGGGUAAAGGCCUACCAAGGCAACGAUCUGUAGCUGGUCUGAGAGGAUGAUCAGCCACACUGGGACUGGGACACGGCCCAGACUCCUACGGGAGGCAGCAGUGGGGAAUUUUGGACAAUGGGGGCAACCCUGAUUCAGCCAUUCCGCGUGAGUGAAGAAGGCCUUCGGGUUGUAAAGCUCUUUCGGCAGGAACGAAACGGCGAGCUCUAACAUAGCUUGCUAAUGACGGUACCUGAAGAAGAAGCACCGGCUAACUACGUGCCAGCCGCCGCUGUAAUAC
rnacentral:rRNA from 1 species